GGAUGAAUCUUGCGCAAUGGGCGAAAGCCUGACGCAGCAACGCCGCGUGGAGGAUGAAGGUCUUCGGAUUGUAAACUCCUGUCAGAUGGGGCGAAGGUCCACUGCCUAAUAUGCGGUGGUCUUGACGGUACCAUCAGAGGAAGCCACGGCUAACUCUGUGCCAGCAGCCGCGGUAAUACAGAGGUGGCGAGCGUUAUUCGGAAUUAUUGGGCGUAAAGGGCGCGUAGGCGGCCAGAUAAGUCCCGGGUGA
rnacentral:rRNA from 1 species